rnacentral:rRNA from 1 species
AAUAGAUACCCGGGUAGUCCAUGCCGUAAACGAUGUCUACUAGCCGUUGGGGCCCUUGAGGCUUUAGUGGCGCAGCUAACGCGAUAAGUAGACCGCCUGGGGAGUACGGUCGCAAGACUAAAACUCAAAUGAAUUGACGGGGGCCCGCACAAGCGGUGGAGCAUGUGGUUUAAUUCGAUGCAACGCGAAGAACCUUACCUGGCCUUGACAUACAGAGAACUUUCCAGAGAUGGAUUGGUGCCUUCGGGAACUCUGAUACAGGUGCUGCAUGGCUGUCGUCAGCUCGUGUCGUGAGAUGUUGGGUUAAGUCCCGCAACGAGCGCAACCCUUUUCCUAUUUGCCAGCACUUCGGGUGGGAACUUUAAGGAUACUGCCAGUGACAAACUGGAGGAAGGCGGGGACGACGUCAAGUCAUCAUGGCCCUUACGGCCAGGGCUACACACGUGCUACAAUGGUCGGUACAAAGGGUUGCUACUGCGCGAGCAGAUGCUAAUCUCAAAAAGCCGAUCGUAGUCCGGAUCGCAGU